UACGGGAGGCAGCAGUAGGGAAUAUUGGGCAAUGGAGGCAACUCUGACCCAGCCAUGCCGCGUGCAGGAUGAAGGCGUUAUGCGUUGUAAACUGCUUUUAUAUAGGAAGAAAUAGACCUUGCGAGGUAAGUUGACGGUACUAUAUGAAUAAGCACCGGCUAACUCCGUGCCAGCAGCCGCGGUAAUACGGAGGGUGCAAGCGUUGUCCGGAUUUAUUGGGUUUAAAGGGUGCGUAGGCGGUUUAUUAAGUCAGUGGUGAAAGACGGUCGCUCAACGAUUGCAGUGCCAUUGAUACUGGUAGACUUGAGUGAGAUUGAGGUAGCUGGAAUGGAUAGUGUAGCGGUGAAAUGCAUAGAUAUUAUCCAGAACACCAAUUGCGUAGGCAAGUUACUAAGUCUCAACUGACGCUGAGGCACGAAAGUGUGGGUAUCAAACCAGGAUUAGAUACCCUGGUAGUCCACACUGUAAACGAUGAUAACUAACUGUUGGCUUUCGGGUCAGUGGACAGAGAAAUCGUUAGUAU
rnacentral:rRNA from 1 species